UUUUGACCAAAAUCGUGACCAUGCCCCUUUAACGUCGAUGGCAACAAAUAUGCCAUGAGAUCUCGCCAUGCUUUCUGGGCUGGGAAAACAGAUACUCGGCACACAAAAGCACUCCAGUGGAGUGAAUUCAAAACAACAGUACGAGAACAAACGAUGCAGACAAUUUCAAAGCCAAUGGCAAGUAGACAGACCUUGCUGUGACAAGGAAGGAGGUUUUCGAUAUAUUGAGAGAGAGUUCCUUUUUUUACUACAUGUAACUUGUGAUGGGGUCACGGAAUUCACGGGGGAAGAACUGGAAAUUAUUUACAUAAGAAUGUGUAAUGGUGGAAAAGUUGAAGAUAUGUAUUUGUUCAUUGGAAGCCCUGAAUCAACACCGGUAGAGGUGUUUAAAAAAAUCCUUGUUGGUUUCUGUGCUGAUGGAGGUUCAAAUAUGCAAGGUGGAUUCCACAGAAUGAAUGCCACAAAAGCUGUUCCUCAACAGAUGGAAUCAGUAGAUAUUUUGUCCUUGAAUGAGGUGAUUGAAAGUGAGACUUAUCAGGAAAUGCCUUUGGUUUUUCAAGGAGCAAAACCAAAUGCCAAAGUGCAGGAUUUGUUGGCCACACUUGUAGAUUCAAUGGAAAACAGAUUUCCUUACACUGAUAUUGUUGAAGCAACUCUCAUUGGAUCAUUUUUGAAUUGUCCAGCGAAUGGAUCAGACAGCAUACCUGGUUAA
rnacentral:sRNA from 1 species